ACUGCUACGGCUUUUACUUUACUGUGUAGUUUAAAUCUAACAACGGCUGCAAUCGACUAUAACGUGUAGCUUAUGCUUUGGGGGGUUAAGGGCAGUACCCAUCUUACCGUGAAGGGAGGUACCCACUGUACUAUGGGGGAGGGGCUAAGGGCAGUACCCACCAUACCAGGGGGGAACCGUAUCAUGUAAUUAUGUGUCACAAAUAACCUCCUAAGUAACGUGACCAAACGGCCAGUGCUGGAAGCUGGUCAGCUUUAUUUUUAGUGGGAAUUAUGAAAAUCUGUCCUGGAUUUUAUUUUGGUUUAAGUUUCAGGUAAUUUGUCCGAUGUGAUUUACAUUUCCUGGUGAAUUAUUUUAUUCCUUUAAAAAAAAAAUGAUGGCUGAAAAGAUGCUGAUCAAUAAAUUGUUUUUCAUGCUA